GCGGACGUGGUGGAAUUGGCAGACACGCUGGAUUUAGGUUCCAGUGCCGCGAGGCAUGCAGGUUCAAGUCCUGUCGUCCGCACCA
rnacentral:tRNA from 1 species